AGGAGCGUGCAGGAGAGACAGGAGAAGAGAAUAACUAAACAAAGACAUUAAAGACAAAAAAAAAGUAGGAAAGGGAGACUUAGAAAAUAUUAAAAGCCACCAAAAACACAUCCAAAGACGGUUUCCCCUUACGUUAGUUGGGCUAAAAGAAAGCAAAUGGGAAGAAGGUUUUAAAUUGAUUAUCCCAGUGACAAAUCCCAGGAAGCUUUCACAUCAAAUCACCCUAUUCUGGGUUUUUAACUCCUUCCAUCGAGUUUAACCUCUUUACCUCCCACAUCCUGGUAAACCCUGCCCCCUCCCUACCGCCCCCUUUGCUGGUGAUUAAAUCCUGAAGGUACACGAAGUAUUUCAGUGAAUGAAUGGCUAACAGAAAAGGGCCUCCCCUCCCCCUUACCCUGGCGGUGUUUUUCAGUUUUAUUCCACUUUCCGCCCUUUUCCCUUAAUGAACACAGGGCUAAUCUCGGGCCUUGUCGAAGGAAGAGGCUGCAGACGUUAAUGAGGUUAGCUGCUGGAUUCCAGUAUUCGUCGCAUAAGGAUCCUUCUUUGUCUGCGAAGGAAAAACACACUGAUUAUCAUAAUGAGGCACGUGGGCCGUGGCCCGGCUGGGUCGGCUGAAGAACUGCGGAUGGAAGCUGCGGA
rnacentral:lncRNA from 1 species